UGUCCUACGGGACGCAGCAGUGAGGAAUAUUGGUCAAUGGGCGGGAGCCUGAACCAGCCAAGCCGCGUGAAGGAAGAAGGCGCCAAGCGUCGUAAACUUCUUUUGUCGGGGAACAAAGGGCGCCACGUGUGGCGUUGUGAGUGUACCCGAAGAAAAAGCAUCGGCUAACUCCGUGCCAGCAGCCGCGGUAAUACGGAGGAUGCGAGCGUUAUCCGGAUUUAUUGGGUUUAAAGGGUGCGCAGGCGGACCAUCAAGUCAGCGGUAAAAUCGUGGGGCCCAACCCCAUCCCGCCGUUGAAACUGGCG
rnacentral:rRNA from 1 species